CACGGCAUUCAGGGCAACUUUUCCGCCUUCUUUCCACUUCAACCCUUCUGAUGGGAGGAGCUGCCACAGGGUCUGAGAGAUUACACAUUUCUUUAAUCUUUACAUGUGUGUUCUGCUGCAAAAUGAUGAAAGAAGUGAUACUUAACAGAAAAAACUGAAGAAUCAAUGGGGGAUCAAACCGAAAACCUUUGGCUUUGAAGGUUGGAACUUAACCCACUGAAGGACAUUUAUGAAAAGGCCAUAAGGGCUCUGAAGCCUGGAACUUAUCCAUUUUGGGAAAUUUGUGUACAGUCUAUUAAUAAGUUAUUUAUCAAAUAGAAAGUACAUUGAGCUAAAGGAACUAACCAUAGUCAAAGAAUUUGGUACAUCAAGUAAACACAGUUUAUUUAAGUUACAAAUAAUUUAUUGGCAAACAAAUUUGUCUGUAUGGCCUGCUUAUUAGAAUAAUAAUUCAGAUAGAAAUUUACUCUAAUAAUGCCUGUAUCUAUUCAUCACUAUGUCUUGUGCUUCCUCCCUCUUUCUGUUCAAUGCAGUUAAUGUUAUCAGCUGUAAUGAGUCCUGUAUGUUCAUUUGAUCGAUUAAGUGCAAAAGCCUAGAGUGUAGCUGGUCUGAAGUUUUUUAUUAAUAUAAACAAAGCUGACAAUUAUAAUUUGUUGUCAUGCUACUCGAUGUAAAUCUUUCCCAUUUAUUUAAAACGUGUCUCAAUAUAACCGAGACUUUGACAGCAGACUGAAUGGGAGCAUUAUUUCAUGAGCUACUCUUCCAAACAAAUUUACAGUUCCACAGUGUGCCUCAUGAUACCGAUUGCACACACCUGCAACACAUGCGAAGGGAGUGGUGGGCAGCGAACAUUGCUCACAUGGUUGCAGUGCUCUAGUAGGUCCCCUUGUUAGAGCAAAAUGCAAACUAGUGCCAUGACAAUUUCGGUUUGGUGUUGGUCACAUGUGCUACAUGCUACACCCACUCAAUUUUUUGUUCUCGUAGCCACUGACUAUGCACUCUUCUGUAUCCAGCACAAUAUUAGAGAAAUUGUGUCAUAUGUGUAUCAGCUAACGGUAACACAAGCACCAAAAGUGGGACAGUUUCAGUAUCUUAACUGUUUCUAAUCAUGUUUCAUGAUCAACAAUAAUUGUCAUUUGUUCUUUAAGAACAAUAUCUUUGAUUGAUAUUCCUGAGUUACUGUUACUAAUGGGAAAGUAGGUCUUCUCUAAGUAUUUAAGGUGCGGAAAGCUACAGUUCACUAACUUUCUACAAAGACGUUUAUAAAUUCUGCUGCAAGGCAUUUCAAUAGACAUCACAGUAAAGCAUCUUGUUUUAAAGUCAUUCAACACACACUAUGGAGCAACAUGCUCAACAAACUCAAAGUCGAAAAGUGUGGUUAAAACUAGUGUGAGACCGAGGGCGUAAGCAAUGCAAUAUACGUUGCACAAUUAAUAAAAGGUACUUAUAAGGAAUUGUCAAUCUCUCUGAGAGAAAAAUGGUACAAGUAUUUAUAAAAAGCAAUACAACAAUUUAAUAGAAAAUGUGUAGAAAAUCACAAUUUGUACCAUAGACUGCUGGAUGUGCUUGUGCUUGUUAAAUAAAUAAUGCCUAAAGUAAGGAUGAGAACAAAAAGUACAAAAGUAAAACAAAAUCAGAAAAAAACAAGCAUUAAACUACACACUGAAUAUUGCAUCUCCAAUAUUUGCACAAUUUGCAAUUAAAAUAAAUAUGGACAACACAAAAGUAACAACAUUUACUGGAUGACAAGAAGUCUCCUAAACUCUAACAAAUUGGAGGGUUCUGGUGGAAGUAAAUGAAGAAAACAUUGUACAGUGGGAAGCAUGCAGAGCUUUCAUGAAUGUUUUGGAGUGUCUUCUACUCAUAAUUUAGUCAUUUCACUGCAAUUGGUUAGUGACCAUUACCAAACUGUUAAGAGAAUAUUUGUAGACUGCAAAUCUAAGUUAUUUAUAUGAAUGCAGAAACGAGACAAAAGAUGACAUUUAUUAGACACACAGGUAUAAAACUGUAAUCACCAAUAAAAAAAUAUUCUCAAAUUAUUGAAGUGUUUUAACUUAAUUACUUGCACUUCAAUUUCUAGAUCUUUACUACAUUUUAUAUAUUUAUAAUUCUUCAAAGCAUCUGCUCACUUGCUCCCCAGCUAAACAAGGAGAAAUACAGUAAGGAAAGAUAUCUCAAUGAUGAGCUGAAGUGUUUUCGUGUAUUCUAGUGUAGCGUUUCAACCUCAGACAGCAGUAUUUAUGGGAGAACUUAUCAAAACACAUAAUGACCAAAUGCUACAACACCGAUAAAACAUUGUAUGAUGCAGUUACAUUUACAAUCUGAAUUCCACACAACUUACUGCAUGGAGAGCACCACUUACAAAGGCUGCCAUAUGCAUGUUCAAAAACAACUAUAUGCAACUUAUCAACAGCAUAUACCAGAUAUUCAAUGCAAAUCAUUAUAAAUCAUAAAUUGAUUGAUGCAUGUUCAUAUGUGGAUACACAAAAAAGAAAUAUUUUUUAAUAAUUUUACAACAAUCAUGAGUCAACUGAAAAACAUUUGUUUCCUAACUAAAAGUAGUAUUGUAACAGUAUGUUUUUAAAUGAUAAACAGAAGCCAGAAAACUAUCUGCAUCUGUUAUUUAACUAAAUAUGAUUGUUGCAUGAUAAAAUUCAAUUUAUCAAUACCCAUGGUGCUGCAGUACACACACUACCUUCAAUCUACAUAAGGACUGUAGCAGUAGCUCCCAUAUUCUCAACAAAUUUCAUACCAACUGAUUGGCACACAAUAUCAAAAUAGACCCAUAUAAUUAAAAGGACCUUCAUAAAGAAUAAAUUAUUUUCCUUUAUUUGCUCCAUGCUGUUUGAAAAUUGUAGCAAAGUAAAGGAAUACAUGCAAAGGAUUCCCACUUUGUGCAGGGAUUAGCAGUUGGCUCUCAAAUAAAUGUAAUGUAGUGUGCUUAUUUAGGCAGAAAUACCCAUUAUUGUAUUGUGCAACCAAUCAGUGGAAAUAUGCAGUCAUAAAGUGGAAUGAUCACACACAAUUAGUUGAAGGAAAGGCAGAUGCCAGAAGAAGCCUAAGGACAUGUAACUCACCCUUGAAGAUGCAGCUUACAAAUCCAUUAACUCAUCGAUUUUGGGUACUGCUCAGCAGUCUGGGAACUUUAACAGGUAGGAUUAAUAAACAAUACCUAAAGAAGAGCAGCUCUUUGUGUCAGAUUCAUUUAGUGAGGACAAGAUUGUCAUGUAGAUGAUCAUACAACUUCAGUGGCAAACACUACAGGAGUGGCCUUUUGCAUCAUUGAGAGGUCUAUUGUAAAUCAUAAGGUGUAUAUUCCAAAAAGAGAGUCAAGCAACAUAUCUUGUGAAAUGACCCUGACAAUAAAAUCUUAACCUCAUUAAGAGUCUUAUCAACAGUGUUUCUUAUUGCACACCACUUAUGACCAUCUGCCACACACUCAAGUUGGCAUGAUGCAGAGUACACAGGUAGAUGUAUUAAGGACCGUAA